AUGCAAGAAUUAUUGCAUGAACAAAAUAAUGUGAAUAUAGACAGUGAGGCCCUGCACAGCCUGGCGCAGGCAGGUGACUACUCCAUGCGCGUGGACCUGCGGGCUGGGGACGAGGCUGUGUUCGCCCAGUACGACUCCUUCCGCGUAGACUCGGCUGCGGAGUGCUACCGCCUCCACCUGGAGGGCUACCACGGCACCGCAGGGCACUCCAAGAGCUACCACAGCGGCAGUGUCUUCUCUGCCCUUGAUGGGGACCUCAACAACUUGCUCAUCUCCUGCGCCGUCUCCUACCGAGGGGCCUGGUGGUACAGGAACUGCCACUACGCCAACCUCAACGGGCUCUACGGGAGCACAGUGGACCAUCAGGGAGUGAGCUGGCACUACUGGAAGGGCUUCGAGUUCUCGAUGCCCCUCACGGAAAUGAAGCUGAGACCAAGAAACUUUCUCUCCCCAGCCGGGGGAGGCUGAGCUGCUGCCCACCUCUCUCGCACCCCAGGAUGACUGCCGAGCACUGACGGUUCGUCCUGAGAGAAGAGCCAGAGGCCUUCACCACCCGGCCGCUGGAGGAAGCCUUCUCUGCCAGCGAUCUCGCAGCACUAUGUUUACGAGGGGGCGGUGGAGGGAUUCGUACGGGAGCAAUAAAGGAGAAACUGAGG